rnacentral:lncRNA from 1 species
CUCAGGAGGAAACAAACAGUUUCUGGAGAAUGUCUACAUCAAUAAUAGAAAAAAAUCUGAAACAAAAUUAAGUACAAUUAAAUAAUUUAAAAGUCAUUUUUGAUCAAUACUGAAAAGAAAUGAAACAUAGAAAUACAAGAAAAACAACCAUGUGUGAAUCCCAGAAUAUUAUUUAGACUAAAGUAUGGUUCACAUAUAUUUAUAUAUAUAAUGGUCUACUAUGAGAUCAAUGAGGUGCUCACAAUUUCUCAGAAAUGUUUUCAGUUGUCCAUUCCAUGUUUCUUCAAACACAGUGUCAGAAUUGUUAAAUGUAUACCUUUCAUACUUGGUCUCAUUUUAAAUCAGUAAAAGUAUUGUCUAGAUCUUCAAGGUUUGAUUCCAUAUGUAUUUUGCUGUGAAAAUUGCUCCAUUCAUUUAGAUAAUGUGACAUCAAAUUAUAAGCUCUAAGCAGCUGUCACUCUUUGCCAGACACUCGGAAAUCCUGAUGAGAACUGGCAUGCCAUUUAUCUCACAAUUCAGUGUCAACAGUAAUAAAAUCUAUGGGCUUAAUACAUUAACAGUUUCAAGGAGUAUCUGAGUUAAAAUGAAAACUUAAAAGUAUUUUAGUGCAUCAAAAUAACUGUGUACAGCUGAUACUGGUAUUGGUGAUAUAUUAGUUUGCAACUGAGAAAAUGUAAAGCACUUUGUGAAAAUAAAUAUUGUAUUAAAAAAGGGAUAUUUUUUCAAAUGACUCAAAUGUAUAAUAAAUAAAAAUUACACAUUAUAUUUAUGAAA